rnacentral:rRNA from 1 species
UAUAUAGUAGUAGUAUGUAUGAUAUUUACAAUUUAUUUUUUAUUACUAUUUUAGUAAUGUAUAUAAAGAGACUAUUAAGGAGGGCUAGCUAUAUAUUAAAGAGAUUAAUUUGUGUUUGUUAUUUAAUUAUUUUACACAUGCACUCUUAGAGAAAUUCAAUAAUAAACGAAGUGAAUUGAAAUAUCUUAGUAACUUUAGGAAAAGAAAUCAAACGAGAUUCUAUGAUUAGUGUGAAUGAAAAUAGAAAAGCCUAUUUAUAUUUAAAUAAAUAAAAAAAAUUUAUAUUUAUAUUGUAUUAUAUUUUUUUUAAUAGAUAUAUUAAAUAAGUAAAACGGGUAUAACCUCCUGUUUGAAUACGUCAAAUAAUAUAUUAUUUAUAAUUGUCUAGGCUUAGCCUUCUACAAUUAUUUGACAAAGGGGAACCUUCCUCUAAGGCUAAAUAUAAUAUAUAAGCGAUAGCGUAUAGUACUGUGAAGGAAAGGUUUGAAUUAGUAGUCUUAUAAGCAGCUAAUGCUUUAUUUAAUUAAAAAGUAAUAGCGUACCUUUUGCAUAAUGGGUCAGUAAGUUAAUAUUAGAUGCGAGCAUUCGUGCCCAGAUAAACCAAUUAUGAAUUAAUGAAUUAGUAUCUAAAAUUAGACCCGAAAGCCAGUGAUCUUACCAUAGUCAGGAUUAUAAAAGUCCGAACGGGUUAUCGUUGUAUAGAUAUCCGAUGAACUGUGGUAAGUAAGUGAAAGACAACACUGACUGGUAUAGCUGGUUUUCUGCGAAACCUAUAAAAGUAGGUAAUUUAAGUAACAUCAUAGCAGGUACAGAACUGUGUUCUCAGGCAACUUAUAUUUUGAGAUUAAAGAAAUUUGCUCUCAUUUUAUUUUUUGCAUAUAUCGGGCAAUCGUGAAGAUUUUAUCGGUGAGUAAUCGCACUCGGAAUGGUUAUGAUCUUUAUUAAAUAAUCGGACAUAGUACGCUAAGGUUGUAUGUCUAAAGGGAAACAGCCCAGAACAAGAGUUAAGGUUCCAAAAUUAUUGUUAAGUGAAAUUAAGGAUGUUUAGUUAAAAUACGGCCAGGAAAUUGGCUUAGAAGCGGCUCAUUUUUUAAAGAUCUCGUAAUAGAGCACUGGUUUAGUAUAUUAUUUACAUUAAUUUGAGCACCGAAGAUUUAACGGAUCUAAACAAUAUACCGACACCUUGUCCAUAGGUAUAAAUAAUUAAAAACCAGUUCUAGAUUUAGUAAUUAUUUUUCUUUAGUUCUUGUUUAAUUAAUCAAAGAUUAAUUAAAAAAAUGAACCAAGGGAUUAAAAAUAAAAAUUCACUUUUUAUAUUAUUAAUUAACGAAUCUUUAGCCUGGGGGUCCAUACCAAAAUAUAAUAUCUUAUUUAUAUUUAUGGGGUAGCAGAACGUUGGGUAAAUCCAAAUGGUUACUUUUAUUGUUUUUAAUAAUAAAUAUAUGAUAACCCAAGUGAUAAUGCUGACAUGAGUAACGAAAAAGGGGAUAUACCCUCGCCUAAAGCUUAUGGUAUUUUUUUGUAAGUAACGGCCUCUAAGUUUACCAACCUAAAGGAUUAAACGAUGAGAAAAUCUUUUAGUUCAUUAGUAACAACCUUCCUUCUUAUAUGUUUUAUUAUAGAAACUUUAUAAGAAAAGUUGAGGGAGGUUCUGGAAAAACCGUGACCUAUCUUUAAUUAAGAUAAAAACCGUACCUAAAUACCACCGACGGUAAGCUAGUAGAGAAUACGAAGGCGUUUGAGUGAACAAUCCUUAAGGAACUCGGCAAACUAACUACCGUAACUUCGGAAUAAGGAGUGCCAUUCCUCUUCAUUAAUAUGAGGUAAAGAAUAGGAAGCAUGGAAUAGUGUUGUACGACUGUUUAAUUAAAACAAAGCACUCCGCAAUAAGAUAAUAAAUCAAAGUAUUGAGUGUGAUUUCUGCCCGAUGUCGGCCGGUUAACGGAUUUUCUUAGUUGACUAAUAUAAGCUAGGUUUUGAAGGAAACCCCGAUGAAUGGCGGCCUUACCUAUGAGGGUCCUAAGGUAGCGAAAUACCUUGGCCGUUAAAUGCGGUCUUGCAUGAAUGAUUUAACGAUACAACAGCUGUCUCAAGGAUUGGCUCAGUGAAAUUGGAAUAACAGUGGCAGAUACUGUUUACCUCUAGAUAGACGAGAAGACCCUAUGCAGCUUUACUGUUACUAGUUAUUAGAUAUGAUAAACAGCAUUUUUAGUGCAUAAGGUAGGUCUUAAUUUACUUGACCGAAAUUGAAACACCUUUAUUUAGUUUUUCAUAUUGGUAAAUAUAAUUUACGUGAUUUUUAUAUAAUCAUUUCCUAACCUUCGGAGAGGAACGAUGACUAGGAGGCAGUUUAUGCGGGGCACAGAUCCCAUAAAAAGUACCUGGGUGUAUCCAAAGUUAAUUUUGUAAAUUUGUUAUAAUUUAGUUAUAACAACAUCUACUGCCUUUUUUUUUUUGGCUCCGCAUGUUCCGCAUUCGUAGGGGGGGGGGGCGUAGGGCGUAGGAUACAAAAAAAAAUAGGUUAAGUUUUUGUUUUUUAGUUUGUUAUUAGAGAUAGCUUGAGCUAGAUCCAAUCCACCUAUAUAUCUAUUGAGUUAGAACUAAUUUUUUUAAUCAAGUAAGAUUUUAUCUAUAUUGAAAAUAGAUGUAUACUAUGUUGUUAAUAUUUUAGCCGUUACGCGGAUUUAUAUUUAUUUAUAUCAUAGUUAUAUUAUUGGUCUUGCAAGGCCGAAAAGCUGGAUUCUUGUGCUGCAUGCAGCUUAGGAAGAUAGAGCAAUAAUAUAAUAAUUACUUGUCAAGUUUAAUGGCUUAAUCUUGCUUUACUGUUUGAUUUACACGUCUAUCAGUCGCGUAAGCGGGGCAUAUGAUCACAAGAUGCCGAAAGGAAAGGUCUUGGGUUUUUGAAAAAGCUACGCUAGGGAUAACAGGCUAAUUGCGCCAGGAAGUACAAAUUGAGUGCGCAGUUUGGCACCUCGAUGUCGGCUUAACUUAUCCACAUGAACGCAGGAAUCAUGAAGGGUUCGACUGUUCGUCGAUUAAUAAGUUACACGAGCUGGGUUAAAUACGUUGUAAAACAGUAUGGUUUCUAUCUUCUAGAGGAAAUUAGAAUAAAAUAAAGAUAUAUCCCUCGUACGAAAGGAGCUGGGUAUAUUAACCUAUGGUUUACCUGUUGUUUAUGUGCCCAAUAUUAAAGAAGUCAAAUUUGGCCCUAUAAAGCCCCUCCUAAAUAAGGCCUGCUGGCUUUUAGACAGACAUGAGUCCUUUUUAGAAGGAGGCCACAAGGAUGUUACUAACACUUUAGUAGAUAUAUAACAUAGGCACGGCAGGAACGCUAUGUUAGUUUAAAUAAGUGCUGAAAGCAUAUAGGCACGAAGUUUACUUUAAUAUAUUCUUAAAUAUACGUCAGAUAAUAAGACGAAUUUUUUUUUUGGAUAAAUAGAUAAAAUAAAGGUUAAAAACCUCAAGGGGAGCAGAUCUUCGAGAGGGUAAGUGUUAUU